ACGCCGCGUGAGGGAUGACGGCCUUCGGGUUGUAAACCUCUUUCAGUACCGACGAAGCGCAAGUGACGGUAGGUACAGAAGAAGCACCGGCCAACUACGUGCCAGCAGCCGCGGUAAU
rnacentral:rRNA from 1 species